rnacentral:ncRNA from 1 species
CGGACGUACCGCGGGAGCCCGCGCACCGAGGCUGAGAGGGCGGCAGGACCGGCCGCCGACCGUUCGAACCUGAUCCGGGUCACACCGGCGUAGGGAGGCCGCUCCGUGCUGUCA